CAAUGAGGGUUAACAGCCCUCCGCGUUGAGCAGACCCAAAGGAAGCCUCGGCUAACUCUGUGCCAGCAGCCGCGGUAAGACAGAGGAGGCAAGCGUUGUUCGGAAUUAUUGGGCUUAAAGCGGGUGUAGGCGGCUUGGCAAGUGUCCUGUGAAAUCCCACGGCUCAACCGUGGAAUUGCAGGGCAAACUGCCUGGCUUGAGGUCGGUAGAGGUGCCUGGAACUCUAGGUGGAGCGGUGAAAUGCGUAGAUAUCUAGAGGAACGCCAGUGGCGAAAGCGGGGCACUGGGCCGAUUCUGACGCUGAGACCCGAAAGCGUGGGGAGCAAACAGGAUUAGAUACCCUGGUAGUCCACGCCGUAAACGAUGCACACUAGGUGGCGGAGUCUCUGACGGCGUCGCCGCCGCAGCAAAAGUGAUAAGUGUGCCGCCUGGGGAGUACGGCCGCAAGGCUAAAACUCAAAGGAAUUGACGGGGGCUCACACAAGCGGUGGAGCAUGUGGCUUAAUUCGAAGCAACGCGAAGAACCUUACCCAGGUUUGACAUGCUUGGAUGCAAUUCCGGGAUAACCGGGAGCGCUGCCCUUCGGGGUGAAACUUGCACAGGUGUUGCACGGCUGUCGUCAGCUCGUGCUGUGAAGUGUCGGGUUAAGUCCCUUAACGAGCGAAACCCCUAUCGUCAGUUGCCAGCGCGUUAUGGCGGGGACUCUGGCGAGACUGCCGGCGUUAAGCCGGAGGAAGGUGGGGAUGACGUCAAGUCAUCGUGGCCCUUAUGCCUGGGGAUGCACACGUGCUACAAUGGCCGGUACAAAGGGAAGCAA
rnacentral:rRNA from 1 species